GCGGUUUCUUAAGUCUGAUGUGAAAGCCCCCGGCUCAACCGGGGAGGGUCAUUGGAAACUGGGGAACUUGAGUGCAGAAGAGGAGAGUGGAAUUCCACGUGUAGCGGUGAAAUGCGUAUAGAUGUGGAGGAACACCAGUGGCGAAGGCGACUCUCUGGUCUGUAACUGACGCUGAGGAGCGAAAGCGUGGGGAGCGAACAGGAUUAGAUACCCUGGUAGUCCACGCCGUAAACGAUGAGUGCUAAGUGUUAGGGGGUUUCCGCCCCUUAGUGCUGCAGCUAACGCAUUAAGCACUCCGCCUGGGGAGUACGGUCGCAAGACUGAAACUCAAAGGAAUUGACGGGGGCCCGCACAAGCGGUGGAGCAUGUGGUUUAAUUCGAAGCAACGCGAAGAACCUUACCAGGUCUUGACAUCCUCUGACAAUCCUAGAGAUAGGACGUCCCCUUCGGGGGCAGAGUGACAGGUGGUGCAUGGUUGUCGUCAGCUCGUGUCGUGAGAUGUUGGGUUAAGUCCCGCAACGAGCGCAACCCUUGAUCUUAGUUGCCAGCAUUCAGUUGGGCACUCUAAGGUGACUGCCGGUGACAAACCGGAGGAAGGUGGGGAUGACGUCAAAUCAUCAUGCCCCCUUAUGACCUGGGCUACACACGUGCUACAAUGGACAGAACAAAGGGCAGCGAAACCGCGAGGGUUAAGCCAAUCCCACAAAUCUGUUCUCAGUUCGGAUCGCAGUCUGCAACUCGACUGCGUGAAGCUGGAAUCGCUAGUAAAUCGCGGAUCACCAUGCCGCGGUGAAUACGUUCCCCGGGGCCUUGUACACACCGCCCGUCAACACACGAGAGUUUG
rnacentral:rRNA from 1 species